rnacentral:rRNA from 1 species
CGGACGGGUGAGUAAUGUAUGGGGAUCUGCCUGAUGGCGGGGGAUAACUACUGGAAACGGUAGCUAAUACCGCAUAACGUCGCAAGACCAAAGAGGGGACCUUAGGGCCUCUUGCCAUCGGAUGUGCCCAGAUGGGAUUAGCUAGUAGGUGGGGUAACGGCUUACCUAGGCGACGAUCCCUAGCUGGUCUGAGAGGAUGAUCAGCCACACUGGGACUGAGACACGGCCCAG